UGGACAAGGAUUGCAUGCCGCAGGACUUCAUUUUGAUCACUUCGAAGU
rnacentral:tRNA from 1 species